GACAGAGGAUGCAAGCGUUAUCCGGAAUGAUUGGGCGUAAAGCGUCUGUAGGUGGCUUUUAAGUCCGCCGUCAAAUCCAGGGCUCAACCUGGACAGGCGGUGGAAACUACCAAGCUGGAGUACGGUAGGGCAGAGGGAAUUUCCGGUGGAGCGGUGAAAUGCGUAGAGAUCGGAAAGAACACCAACGGCGAAAGCACUCUGCUGGGCCGACACUGACACUGAGAGACGAAAGCUAGGGGAGCGAAUGGG
rnacentral:rRNA from 1 species